UGCCCUAGUAACGGCGAGUGAAGCGGCAACAGCUCAAAUUUUAAAUCUGGCUCCCUCGGGGGUCCGAGUUGUAAUUUGCAGAGGGUGCUUUGGCGUCGGUAGCGGUCUAAGUUCCUUGGAACAGGACAUCACAGAGGGUGAGAAUCCCGUACGUGGUCGCUAACCUUCGCCGUGUAAAGCCCCUUCGACGAGUCGAGUUGUUUGGGAAUGCAGCUCUAAAUGGGAGGUAAAUUUCUUCUAAAGCUAAAUACCGGCCAGAGACCGAUAGCGCACAAGUAGAGUGAUCGAAAGAUGAAAAGCACUUUGGAAAGAGAGUCAAAUAGCACGUGAAAUUGUUGAAAGGGAAGCGCUUGCAGUCAGACUUGCCCGUAGUUGCUCACCCAGGCUUUUGCCCGGGGCACUCUUCUGCGGGCAGGCCAGCAUCAGUUUGGGCGGCCGGACAAAGACCUCUGUCAUGUAUCUUCCUUCGGGAUGACCUUAUAGGGGAGGUGUAAUGCGGCCAGCCCGGACUGAGGUCCGCGCUUCUGCUAGGAUGCUGGCGUAAUGGCUGUAAGCGGCCCGUCUUGAAACACGGACCAAGGAGUCUAACAUCUAUGCGAGUGUUUGGGUGUCAAGCCCGGGCGCGCAAUGAAAGUGAACGGAGGUGGGAACCUUAGGGUGCACCAUCGACCGAUCCUGAUGUCUUCGGAUGGAUUUGAGUAAGAGCAUAGCUGUUGGGACCCGAAAGAUGGUGAACUAUGCUUGAAUAGGGUGAAGCC
rnacentral:rRNA from 1 species